rnacentral:rRNA from 1 species
CCUACGGGUGGCAGCAGUCGGGAAUAUUGGGCAAUGGAGGAAACUCUGACCCAGCAAUACCGCGUGAAGGAUGACGGUUUUCGGAUUGGAAACUCCUGUUAUAAAGGAAGCAAAAACUGACGGUACUUUAUAAGUAAGCCCCGGCAAACUAUGGGCCAGCAGCCGCGGUGAUACGUAGGGGGCAAGCGGUAUCCGGAUUUACUGGGUGUAAAGGGAGCGUAGACGGUGCAGCAAGUCUGAUGGGAAAGGUCGGGGCCCAAACCCGGGACUGCAGUGGAAACUGUUGAACUGGAGUACAGGAGAGGUAAGCGGAAUGCGUAGUGUAGCGGUGAAAUGCGUAGAUAUUAGGAGGAACACCAGUGGCGAAGGCAGCUUACUGGACUGUAACUGACGUUGAGGCUCGAAAGCGUGGGGAGCAAACAGGAUUAGAUACCCGGGUAGUC